ACCUACGGGGGGCAGCAGUGAGGAAUAUUGGCCAAUGGGCGCAAGCCUGAACCAGCCAAGUCGCGUGAGGGAUGACGGUCCUAUGGAUUGUAAACCUCUUUUGUCGGGGAGCAAGGCCCGCCACGUGUGGCGGGAAGGAGAGUACCCGAAGAAAAAGCAUCGGCUAACUCCGUGCCAGCAGCCGCGGUAAUACGGAGGAUGCGAGCGUUAUCCGGAUUUACUGGGUGUAAAGGGUGCGUAGGCGGCUUGGCAAGUCAGUAGUGAAAUCCAUGGGCUUAACCC
rnacentral:rRNA from 1 species